rnacentral:tRNA from 1 species
GCCGAAGUGGUGAAACUGGUAGACACGCUGUGUUCAGGGCGCAGUGUCCUUACGGGCGUGGGGGUUCAAAUCCCCCCUUCGGCA